AGAAAGAGAAGUAGAAUCACAGAGAUGAGAUGAGAUAUUAUUAUAAUAUCCUGAGCUUUUAAUUUGCAUCCUUUGUUAAUUUUAUUCUUUGAAGCAACUUUAUAAUUCCUAGUUAAAGGGAUUAUUCUAUUAUUUUCAUAGAUGAGAAUGGUGAGAAAUAAGAAAUAUUAUUAGUCGACUUGUUGCUCGACUAAUUGAAGUGACAGAUUUUAUUUAAUUAUUUAUCUAUGAACUUUCUUAUUUUAAUAGUGAUGAUUUAUUACUAAACAAUGAAUUUGAGAUUUGAAUUUAAAUUCUUACUAGUCUGAGUAAAUUUAGUAUAUAUAUUAAGAAUUGUAUUAUAUUUUAUGGAGUGUAUAAUAAUUUAUUAAUUUAGAUAGCUAUCAAAUACUACUUGAGCUUGGAGCACAAGUUUCGUGAGUCAUGUUAGUGUAGAGAAUUGCUUUUUAUUUUUAUUUGAUCUAAUUUUAGGGGCCAUAAAAUAAGGCUUAUAGGAAAGGCCAAGUUUUCCUCUUAUUCUUUAUUUCUCCUACAAGCCCCAAAUGGGCCGAUCAAUGAGGGAACCAAAAUUGGUUUCAAGUUAAAUUCUCAUCUCAACAAAUGAGUUUUAAAUUGUUAAUUGCAACUCCCAAGUAAGAGGCUAUAUAUAUAUUCUUUACAUUUAAAGGAAACUCAUUUCCUUCUUCUUCCAUUAACUGUCGAGUUUUUUCCCCAAAAGCAGAAUCACCAUUUUCUUCCUUCAAGUUCAAUUCGGAGAGAAAUUUCAUAUAGUAGCUGCAAUACUUUGAUAAUAAAGGUUCGAGUGGCAGUGUAGAAUGAACAAGCAAAGACUUCUAUUUCAUUAAGCAUAUCAGGUGGGCUUACUAACUCAAGAAGUAAAGAUGCAUUCUUUAUUAUAUAAAGUUUGAGUGUAUGCAUUUAUUUUCCAAUUAUUGACUUGCCAAUAUUUGAGAUUUGUAUGAUACCAUCUACAUAGAAGAACGAAUUCGGGUCCUGAGCGAGUCAGGAUUUGUGUACACACAGUUGACCUUUGUGUUAGCUUGUCAUCGUGUUUGAGAAGGAGGCCUACUUCUCAACACUCAGAGUUAUAUGAUGCGUAGAUAUGGUACAUACAUGUUAAUUGUCUGCAGACGUAUAUGAUGUUAUGAUGAUUAUAGAGAAGUUUUAUAGUUUUGCAUACACAGGUUAUUUAAAUAAAACUCCUGUGUGAUGUUUGAGAUGGCAAGUUCAAUAUAUAGCUCUAAGAGCAAGCUUUAAAGUUAUUUCGGCAUGACCACUGAGUGCUUUUUGGUACUCAGCCCUGCGUAUGUUUCUAAAUAUGCAGGUUAAGCUGUGAUGCGGAUGGAAGCGAGCAGAGCAAAGUCAUGUUGUUAAUGUAUUAAAUUAGGCUCAGGAUUUCAUGUCCUCAUACAUGUAAUCCACUUGAGUUGUUUCCGCUGAAGCACUUAAUGUACUUUACUUUAUUGAUGUGUUGUAGAGAUUUUAAACCAAUAGCUUCGAGAAUUAUAUCACUUAGACAACUUGUCGUUGUGUUAUUGUAAGUUGUCUACUCGUGAAUUUUAAAAGUGAUUGUAUAUGAUUACCAGACAUUAUGGUAAAGUAUUGCUUAAGCAGGAUAAUUAUUUUUAUUGAAA